rnacentral:lncRNA from 1 species
GGGUUAUAUUUGAGAGGUACAGAAAUAAAUUGGGUGAGCGUAGGAUGAAGGUGCCAAAAAGGGGAGAAGCUGUGAUGGCUUCUCAGGUUCUGCUGUGGGUGUGAUAUAUGUAUGAGAAGUUUGGGGGUGGGGGAGAUGACACUGAGUUUGAAAUGUCUAUGAGGCAUGGAGAUCAAGAGACACUGCUUAAUGGAUAAGAGAUAUGGACUGAAAACAAAGGUUUGGAUAUUAUCAACACACAUAGAUGGUAUUUGAAGCUUUUGGUGUGGAUUUGUGCAAAGUGAGUAGGAUGGUGACUGGUAAUAGGACCAGGCAUGAGGAGAUUAAUAAAGAGCAGCCACGGAGUUCCUGUCGUGGCUCAGUGGUUAACAAAUCCAACUAGGAACCAUGAAGUUGCAGGUUCAAUCUCUGGCCUUGAUCAGUUGGGUUAAGGAUCCGGCAUUGCUUUGAGCUGUGGUGAUCCCCUUGUUGCUGUGUCUCUAGUAUAGGCCAGCGGCUACAGCUCUGAUUAGACCCCUAGCCUGGGAACCUCCAUAUGCCAUGGGUGUGGCCCUAGAAAAACAGAAGAAAAAAAAAAAAAGAGCAACCAAAGAGAAGAGCAGCUAAGUGAGGCAGUGUCAUAAGCAAUGUAAGGAGAAAGGCUUUGAGAAAAUAGGAGACUGUUAAAUACUAAAAACAGUGUUUGUGGGGUUUGACAAUCAUUAGUAGCUUGGCGGCAGUUAUUGCAAGCAAGUAGUGGGUGUGUAAGUCAUGUCCAGGUGUAUUUAUGUGUGAAUGAAAUGGAGACUGCAAAUGUAGACCAUUCAAUAAACUUGGCAGUGGAAGCAUGGAAGAUUACAACUAACAUUAAAAUUAAUUAGAAAGGGACCUGCUUUUCAAAGAGAUUUGCAUUUCUUUGCCCUUUAUUCUAAAAUUGUUUUUACAUAACUAUGUCAUUUAAAAUUUUAUUUUAUUUUAUUUAUUUUAUUUUUUAGGGCCACACCUGCAGCAUGUGGAGGUUCCCAGGAAUAGGGGUCAAAUCAGAGUUGUAGCUGCUGGCCUACACCGCAGCCACAGCAACACCAGAUUUUAGCCAGGUCUGUGACCUACACCACAGCUCACGGCAAUGCUGGAUCAUUAACCCAAUGAGUGAGACCAGGGAUCGAACCUGUGUCCUUCUUGAGCAGAAUCAUGGCUCUAUAGAAAAAAUAUCUAAUUUGUAUCUAUAGCUAAAUGUAAUUCCAAUUCUAAUUAACUUUAGGAUAAUUCCUUAACAUUCUUUUUCUUCAGUGUCUGAAAUAAAAACUUCAAAAAGUUUAUAGGAUCAAGCACAUACCAUGAGAACUGCAGGGUUUGGUGAAAACUCAUAUGGUGUCCUCUACUGUCAACGUUUAUACUCCAGGGAAAUUUAUUUUAAAUUAGUUUGCUCAAAUUGAAAAAAAAGCAAAAAAAACAUGUUUUUAAAAAGCUGGAAGGAAUGAAGAUUUAUCUAGUUCUGCCUUCUGAUUUUGAAAGUAGGACAUAGGAUCAGAGAAAGUUAGCAACAGAGCAUCUUAUUCCCCCAUCCUCUGCCUUCUAUUACUAGUCCACUGUAUAGCAGUUGGGAAGCCUACAUAAAAGUGACACAAGAGCAUCCAGCCUUUGUUGCCUUGGUGCAUAUGAGAGGCUUCAGAGCACAAGGCCCAGGGCCCAUCACCCUGUUUAAGUGAAACUUUUACAUAUUCACUUAAACUUGAUAGAACUUGAUUAAGGCUGAAUUUUCAACUCACUUUGAACAUAUCAAGUCCUAGAAAAUUGAACAUAUAAUGAUAACAAAUAGUUAUCAAAAUAGUUAGAAAUGUAUGGAAAAACAUAUUCCAAUCCCUUAGUUUUAUUUAUUUAUUUAUUUUUUGUCUUUUGUCUUUUUAGGGCCACACCCACGGCAUAUGGAGGUUCCCAGGCUAGGGCUCCAAUUGGAGCUACAGCUGCUGGCCUGCACCACAGCCAUAGCAAUGCCAGAUCCGAGCCACGUCUACAACCUACACCACAGCUCAUGGCAACACUGGAUCCUUAACCCACUGAGCAAGGCCAGGGAUCGAACCCACACCCUCAUGGUUCCUAGUCGGGUUUAUUAACCACUGAGCCACUAUGGGAACUCCUUAAUCCCUUAUUUGCCAUUGAGAUCAAGAAAAAUGAAUUUUAGGACACUUAAGCGACACUCAGAAAAAUGUAUUUUGUAUGUCAAAGUAGAUAUAAUCCCCACAUAACAAAAGAAGCAAUUUUUUUAUAGAAAUACAGAGAAAUUCAUAAAAAGUAAUUGAAAAGAAAAGGAAAAUUAUUCCAAAAUAACAGUUGAAAGCAUUAUGAUAUCUCCCAGAUGUAUAAGUAGGGCAUCAGAUUUGUUAUAAGAUCAUUUCUGCUCAAGCAUUAGUCCCAAGCUUAAAAAAUGAUGAAGUUCUAGAGAUGCAUAUGGUUAUAAAAUGCUUUCAGGGCUAAAUAUGUGCACUAAAUAUAGGAGUAGGUAUUAUCAACUGAACUUUUCAGACUUAGUUUAUGGAACUUUUGUACUUACAAAAUUAGAACUAAAAUGGGAUUUAUUCAAAUUGAUCAACAGUAACAAUUUUAGUUAUACAGAAAAGUUGAAAUUUUAUAGAAACUAACAAAUCAUUUAACCUAAAGUUCUGAAUUAUGUAUUUAAAUGAGUUAACUGAAGGGAGGAAAGUGAACUUUAGUUGCCUUCCAGUUCAACUUUUGUACUGUAUUCUCCCCCACAAAAAAAGGUAAAUACAAAGUAUUUAUCCCACAACAGACAUUUAAGAAAUGAUAAUUUUUUCCCUUACUAUUCCCCCUUUUUUCAGUGAUAGGCUUAAUUACCAUUUCUGACAGCACACUGUAUAGAGGCUCAAGGGGCAAAAAGCCCUAAUAGUCUCACUGAGGUAUAAGAGACCAAAUAAUUUAAAAUGAUGUCUCUGUUGGAUGUCAGAAUUAUUCUUUGCUCCUAAGUUAAGAUUAGCCUAUUUAGAUUCAGCUGUUUCUACCAUUCAGUAUCACAUGAGUACCCUGAGUUUCUUGCUUUGAUACUUCUGAAAGAUAAGUGGAAAACUUCAUGUUGAUUUAACUAAAAGUCAAAAUUAAUAAAGCAUUUUUAAAUUUUAUAAUCAAAUUAGGAACACUUUUCUCAUUAUGACUUUGUCUUCCAUUUCAUCCUUCAAAGUUAAAACAAAAGAAACAGGAUAUUGUUAUUUUUCUUAUAUGGAUUGUAAUAGAUAUAAACUUUUACCUGUUAGCUGGGAAUGAGUCAAUGGAACUGUACUAUUCUUGUAAUGUGAGAGUCACUUCAUUCCAUUGUUAAAUUACAUGUUGAAUUCCCUCAAAUUAUCCUGUCAAUUUACUCUCCAUAUGCAAUAAUUAUUCAAAAGCAUUGUUCUUGAUUUUUCAUUUAACAAAAAGAUGUACAGAUCAACUGCAAUAAUAAAUGUGUGAAAUGUCCAGGAAAGUUUUGUGGGGAAAAAAGUAACAAAGGAUGGAUUUCUGUGCAAAAAAAUUAUAUAUUAAGGCAUCAAAAUCAGAAGAAAUAGUUAGAUUAAUAGAACAGAAGAGAAAGUGUAGAAUCAGACCCAUGGACACAUAAGAAUAUACUAUGUAAAGAGCAUGAUAACAAUAGCAGUGUGAAAACAAGCUGUCUUUUGAAAAAAUAAAAUGUGAAUUAAGAUUUGAAGUGGAAAAACUUGAAUUACAAGGUGCUAUCCCAAGAAAUUAACAAGCAGUGAUAAAUUUUUAAUUUCUAAAAAUAAUCCAACCCUAAUUCCACCUCCCUAAAAUGUUUAAUUUGUUAUCCUAUACAUAUUGCUUAAUGCAGAAAUGUAUGUUCAUUAUGUUUUAUAUCCCACUUUAUUUAAUGUUAUUUUUUUUUUAGACCUAGUUAGUAGUUUUGGUUAUUUUAACUAUUAUUUUAACAUUCGUAAUAUUUUGUUUGUUUGCUUUUUAUGGCUGUGCUCAUGGCACAUGGAGGUUCCCAGCAAGGGGUCGAAUCAGAGCUACAGCUGCUGGCCAACAGCACAGCAACAUCAGAUCUGAGCUGCGUCUUCGACCUACACCACAGCUUAUGGCAACAUGGGAUCCUUAGCCCACUGGGGGAGACCAGGGAUCGAACCCUCAUAUUCAUGAUUCUUUUCCAUUGCACCACGACGGGAACUCCUAACACUCAUAUCUUUUUAACAGGUAUAUAUAAUUCAUAGCUAACAGUUUAGUGUAAAGCCUUUUGGAGUUUUUUCUCUUUAUAUACAAAUAUGUACAUAAUAUGUUUGUAUGUGUUUAUCUAACUGAUGAAAAAGUGGAGACAUACCUAAUAAACUAUAACUAUCCUUAAUGUUUUUUCUCUAUGCAAUAUAUUUUGGAAACAAGAUGACCUGUACAAUCAUACUGUCUCAUUUUGAAGUUAAAAACAAAAAGGCCUGCUGUGGUUCUAUUUGGAGGCCAAACUGUAGAGAAAUCAUCAUUUUCUAAAUUAAUUUCUAGGUUACAUUUAAAAACCUUUCUACUUGUCUAUUUUAAAUAUUUCAUAUUUUUAUUUUUAUUCAAGAUUCUAUUUUGAAUGACUAAUUUAUGCCAUUUUCAUGUUUUGUAGUCAUUUUACUUUGUAAUUUAAAAAUUUAUAGUUCUCCCUUUUCCUUUUUCCAUUGUGAUGUUACCUAUAUGAUGUGCAUUCUAUUUACAUUAAUAUUUUAAUAAAGUUU